CCUCUCAUGGCGUAGUGGUAACGCGCCCCAACUAGAGAUCGGGGAGUCGUGAGUUCGAUUCUCACUUAGAAGA
rfam:Aedes aegypti strain Liverpool supercont1.118 genomic scaffold, whole genome shotgun sequence.